GAGAGCGAAGACCAAGCGGCCGAUUAAUAUCGAUUUAGAAUUACAAGAUGCAUUGGAAACAAAAAUGAAUAGAUAGGUUUGUGCCUUUGUGGUUGGAUUAGUUGCAAAUAGUUGGAGAGAUCAUAAAGAUAAAGUUUGUAAACUUCUUUUUUGUGCUGUGCUUUCUCUUUUUCUCUUGUUUAAAAUAUUAGAGAAUGACCAUGGGAAGAUAAACCCACAUUUAUUCCUCACACAGGUGAUGAUGCAAGCAAAUUCUCUUUCCGGUCCUAUAUAAACCCUUCCAUCUCCCCUUCAUUUCAUCACACAACACCUCAAGUUUAAUUUAACUUGUUUUCUGUUUCCAUAGAGAGUAGUUUCUAUGUUGAAGAGGAAACAAGUUUUGUCUCCUCAUAACCUAAUGAGGGUUCCAGAAGCUGGUGUUACCUUUUUCAGAUCCACUUACUGCAGGUUAAAGAAGAGGAUCGGAGCUACUCAGCUGCAUCUCAAAUUAAUUUCUCAAAUUUAAUUUAGAGUAACGGUAAGGGAGGUGACAGAAGAGAGUGAGCACACAUGGUGCUUUCUUGCAGUUUCAUGCUUGAAGUUAUAUGUGCUCACCCUCUAUCUGUCACCCCACCACCAUCUCUUUUCUGCUUAUUAUUUUUUUAGUACAUUGGAAAGAUAAAUUGCAUCAUCCCGGGAAUGAUCCUUGGACCUCCCCCACUCAACUCAUAUGUCCCUUAACUCUUAGUACUUGAACUAUCAUCCAGGGACAUUUCUGCCUAUUAUAGUACAUGUUUUUAUUUUUUAUUUUUAUUUUCUUGCUUCCCCUUUUUAUGACAACUUGCCCUAGCUAGGUAGCAGCUUGGGCUUCACUAUCAGCAGCAAAUAAUACUUUUUGCAUCAAAUCUCAGGUAUGUGGCUUUUCCAGAUUGUUCUUAUACAGGUUUUUAGUAUGCUAACCAGCUCACCAAAAGCAUUGAUUUCUACCUCUCUAAUUUCACAGUUUUAAUUAUCUCAAAGACUAUAACUCUAAUUGGUCAAUGCUUUUGAUGUAUACUUAGUCAAAUUGCUGCUAAUAAGUUAAGAGAUUGAGUACUUGAUUAAUAAAAGUAUUGAACUGUUAAUUAAGAAACAUGGUUAUAGUUUUUCUUCGAUUUAUUGUUUUGGGUGCAUAUGCACCUCAUAUAGAAAUUAAAAGAAAAUAACGGUGAUUGUGUCAGAUAUGGAAAUAGAACAUCUUAUCCUUAGGGUCUUGGGUGAGAAGGAAAUUAAUCACCAAAUUAAAUUAAGAGAUUUUCUGUGAUUUUAUCCUUUAUCAGCAAAUUAACAACUACUAUGAUGUGAAUAUUUUAGCCUUGAACAGAAUUGUAUCCUUUGUAAGACUGAAAACAUACUGUGUACAAAUCAAAUUGAAAUCUAGACCAAUACCAUCUUGUAAAUAUAGGGUUUGCUUACUAAUUGAGAAUGAAAGUAAAGAAAGAGAAAGAGCUCACAGUUAUUUGAUGCUUGUCUUGAUUCAAUAUUGUUAAUUUUGACAUCUUAUUUCUUAUAUUGUAUUCAUUUUUAAUGCUUGCUAUAGCAUAUUUUAAUUAAUGAACAACUAAUUUUUUGCUGUUGUAGCUUUUCUUAAAAAGAGUUAUUUUCUACUAUAAAUGAAUCUUCUCAACUCACGCGCAAUAUUCUUUUUUUUAGGUAUAUAUAUGAAGCUUUCAAAUUAAAAGAAAUUUAACAACCACAUAAACACAAUUAACACAAAAAAGACUGUAAAAGUUAUUUUCGUCACAGUCUGAUCUUGCCUGCCAUGAGAUCUUGUGAUCUAAAUAACCAAAAUUUUCAACAUGUUCAAAAUAAUUUUUUCAUACUUUAUAUGAUAUGUGGUUGAUUUGAGGUUAACACGGUUGGGAGAAGCGCUUUUCUUGAACAAGAUUGUCUCAAAUGAAGAUAUAUGUAUAGAUAAAGGCUUAAUUGCAACUUUGGUCCCUGACAUUUACAAAAGCCACGAUUUUGGUCCCUCACCUAAUUUAAUUACAAAAAUCGUCCCUCACCUAACACUUCGUGAACAACGUUGGUCCAACCGUCAAUUUUUUAACGGAAGAAGCUUACGUGGCGUCUGAAAGCUUAUGUGGAAGUGCCACUGGCGUCAGAAUCGAUUUUUCCUCUCCUCUCGGCUGUUUUUUUUAUCUCAUAGUGAAGCUUUGCUGUUGGGAGGCCUAGUUGUUGGAACGCUGGGAUUGAGGUUGUGUCCUAUUCCUCUGAGUUUUUUUGUUGUUUUUUCCUCUGAGAUGUAGAGGCAUGUGCCUCCCUCUCUCCGGUGGCACUUCCACCUAAGUUUUCAAACACCACAUAAGCUUCUUCCGUUAAAAAAUUGACUGUGGGACCAACUUUGUUCACAGAGUGUUAGGUGAGGGAUGAUUUUUGUAAUUAAAUUAGGUGAGGGACCAAAAUCGUGGCUUUUAUAAAUGUCAGGGACCAAAGAUGCAAUUAAGCCAUAGAUAAAUGAAAUAUAGCCUAACAUUUGUAAAUAUUUUGUUUUCCCCAAUUAUAUAUUGAUUUCAUAUACCCGACAUUUUACAUAUGCAACACAACGCCUUGAACCUCGUCUACUUCAAUCAUGAAUAUAAUCUGAAAAAUAAACCAGAUAUCUUAAGAUCAUGUUUAGCAGACUUUUAGAAUGAAGAAAUGGUGUUUUUAAUUUUGUACAUUGUGGAAUAUGUGCAUGAAUUGGUCCUUAAACCUCUCUCCCACCUAAACACUAAAUAAAUGGAGUACUGAUUCAUUUUUUUAUUUGAUGGUUGUCUUCAGAAAAUUAUAACUGUGUCCCAAUAUGGUUUUCCUGUUUUGUAUUUUGGUCCUUACAAUAUUGGUCUAGUUUGUUUACCGCUAAAUUAACAUGUUGUCGGUGGAGUAUUGAAUUAUUAAUAGAUGCACAAUAAGCAAAGAACUACCACCGAAAUUUCCCUGUUGUUAAAUAUUGUUAAAUAUUGUUAACAAGAAUUGAAGCUGAAAGAAAAGGGCCAUGAUUAUUACUAUGUAAGAUCAAACAUACCCUUAUGUUCAUCAAACGAAACACUUUUACUUUCUUGUCAUUGGAAGAUUAUAGCCUAUCACUUCAAACCUCAAAAGAGAUAUAUAUGUUGGUGAUUUUAGUAUCAUCAAUGGAUUUUAGUAGUAAUGUAAUUUACUAUAGGCCGAUGCGAUUAUGCGUUAAGCUCGGAAACGAGUUAGGGUAGUGCGGAGUGCACGCUCGUUGAGCUAACGUAUAAUUGACCGCGAAUACAAAACGGGGUUCCAAGGGGCGGAGCCCAAUUAUAAUUUUCCUAAACGACCCUUAAUUUUAAAAACUGUUAGAAUUAACUGUUUUUCGGUUUCCGAAACAAACUCCAAUAUAAGGAGUCAUUUGGCCUCAGAUUUGAUAUACAGAAAACAAAACAGUCAUUCUCUCUACAUUCCUGAUAUGUUAUCUAUUGCCAGAAACAGGUUGUUCUUCAAGAAUUAUCCCAACAAGGAUUUCGUGAACCCAGGCAAGAAUAGGGUCGAAAUACUUUGUUCGGAAAGGAUAUGAACACGAUUCUUCGAAGUUAUCCAAGAUCAUCCCCAAAUUUCCAACAAUAUAUAUAUAUACCAAGGUUAUCAACUAAAAUUCAAGUCAUGAUGGCCCUUAGACUUGAUUCACACAAAAGAAGUACAAACUCACGACGAUGGCCUCUGAGCUUUUGCUUGAAUACAAGUCUAUGCAGAGCAAGUCUAACUCUCCUACUUCAGUUGGACUUGAGGAGGAGUGAUGAAAUAUACAACCCAAGUCUCACAUUUGGGACCAUAAUCUAGUGUGUAUAUAAACCCAACAAAGACAGAGCUCCUCUCGCUAUUGGAGUCUAACUCUAUCUCGCAGAGGGCCUAGUUAACUUUUUUAGGCCUUUUGCUUUGUUUGUAUCUUUCUCUAUUAUUGAUAUAUAUUCAGCUUUCUAAAAAAAAGUUGGAGCAUUCCCAAUUAAAUUAAGGCAUUUUGCAUCCUCUUGAUCAUCAUCAAUUUUUUUUGGCCCUGCAUGCACCAAACCCAACACAUAUUUUGGUUUUGAAAAAAUGUUCUAAAUUCCCUAUAGUGCGUGUCGGGAUGUCUAUACCCUAAUUGGGAAUGAAAGAGAAGUGAAAGAUGUGAGAGGUGAUUUCAACGGAUGAGCAAGGGAGAUAAGAAGAAAAAUAAAGUGGAAGAAAGAUGACUAAAUUUUUUGUAAGUAUAAAAAAAUCAAAGUUAAAAGUGUCAAAUAUUUUCAGAA